AGCAGUAGCCGCGGUAAUACGAGGGGGGCAAGCGUUGUUCGGAAUUACUGGGCGUAAAGCGUGCGUAGGCGGUUUGUUAAGUCUGUUGUGAAAUCCCCGGGCUCAACCUGGGAAUGGCAAUGGAUACUGGCAAGCUAGAGUGUGUCAGAGGAUGGUGGAAUUCCCGGUGUAGCGGUGAAAUGCGUAGAGAUCGGGAGGAACAUCAGUGGCGAAGGCGGCCAUCUGGGACAACACUGACGCUGAGGCACGAAAGCGUGAGGAGCAAACAGGAUUAGAUACCCCUGUAGUCCUGUCUCUUAUACC
rnacentral:rRNA from 1 species